CAAGUGGCGGGGAGGAGUUCCUUCAGGAACUCCUGAAACCAUGCUCUGUGCCGCUCAGACAAUCCCGUCCGCAGGGCUCCACCACAGCUAGGGGCUGGGACUCGGGUGGAUGAGGUCGGAGCGCCCCAUGGUGUGGUGUUGCUUCUUUGUCCAUGCUCAGCGUAAACGGAAGCAGAGUGCCCAAGAUGAAGAUGCUGUUAGCCUUUGUAGUCUUGACAUAAGUCACUUCACCCAAUCCACUGGCUGAACCCCCAGCUUCCGGGCAUGACAGAAGGCAAACUAUUCCGGGGGAAAGAAAAGCAAUGUACAAUUUUUAAAGCAAUUUGCAGAGUGGAGACUGUCCCAGCAGCCGCCUACAAAUCUUCUCUCACGUCAGAGAAUGCGAGUGGGAUGGCUGGGCAGAGAUUGCUUCCCCCACAGCACUUUUCUACUUUACAUUCUAACUGGGAGGGAUGCCUGCCUAAAGAACCGGGCAUUCGCAAGGCCCCAGGAAAGGCCCUGGGUGGGAGAGCCAGGUGUGCAGAGGGCUGCCCCACUGGAGGGCACUGCUCAGAGACCAAACAUCCUUUCUCGAAAAACAUCACGUUCUAGGGGUGGGCAUAAAAUAGUUUCCAGUAAUAAAAAUAAUGUAAAAGAUGAAAAGGAGGAAUAUAUGUUCCUCGCAGAAAAUUUGGAAAAUGUGAGCAAUAGAUAAUUCAUCAGUAAUCCCACCUGAAUACAGUAGCUACCUUUUGAUGUGUUUGCUUCCUGUCAUUACACACCCACUCACUUUAGAACUUUUUUCUCUGUGAAAUAUUUUAGACAUACAGAAUGGUAUAAAGGAUAAUGUAAAACCCCUUGUACUACUAAUGUAACUAAAGAAAUAAGCCGUUUACAAUAGAGGCAAAGGCCCUUGCAGACCUCUUUGCUCUGCUGAGUGUGAUGUUUAUUGCUUCCUUGCCUGUCUGUAGACUGACUGUGUAUAUGUAUCCUGUGUAGCUUAUGUCAGGCACCCUGGGGAUGCAACGAUUAAGCAGUUGGCUGCUAACCCAGUGGUUGACAGUUCAAACCCACCCUGCGGCUCCAUAGGAAAAAGACCUGGCGAUCUGCUUCUGUGAAGAUUACAGCCUAGAAAACCUUAUGGGGCAGUUCUACUCUGUCACAUGGAGUCAGUCACCACGAGUCAAAAAUCGACUCCGCGGCACCUAACAACAACAUAGCAUAAUGUAUUUUUAACCAGCAUUUAAAGUUUAUAUAAGC